AAAUCUUAAAUACGCAAAAAAUUUGUAUUUCAGAAUUUCGUGUUGGCUGUUUCAUCCUAAAAACACAGUGAGUUGGACAGUUCCACUCUGUGCCUGCAUCUGGCCUCCUACCGCUGCUUCUCCUUCACAGUAAACAGUUAUAAAGUAUUUGUGGAGUCAUUUCCAAUAAAUUCAUGCUUGUGGGAAAAUAUUAAUACGUCCUUCCUUGCACCUUCGGUAUGAGGCUAUUUUAUUUUCUCCCCAACACAAGAUGAAGAAAAUCCCAAAGAAUGUUGUGCUUAAGGAAAAGAAAACUUUGCCAAUUUAUUCUCCUAGUAGGAGGAGUUUCCUGGAUCUCUUUCAGGAAAUUAUUUCAGGAGAGGAUAUUUUAUUUCCGGUUUCUUGAGAGGAUAACGCCAAUGUAUGCGUUCUUUACAGCGU
rnacentral:lncRNA from 1 species